GUGUGAGGCGGUGGUUUGAGUGUUGGCCUAUGACUCUAGAGGCCAGGGUUCGAAUCCCAGCUCACCCA